AACGAGCGCAACCCUUAAGCUUAGUUGCCAUCAUUAAGUUGGGCACUCUAAGUUGACUGCCGGUGACAAACCGGAGGAAGGUGGGGAUGACGUCAAAUCAUCAUGCCCCUUAUGAUUUGGGCUACACACGUGCUACAAUGGACAAUACAAAGGGCAGCGAAACCGCGAGGUCAAGCAAAUCCCAUAAAGUUGUUCUCAGUUCGGAUUGUAGUCUGCAACUCGACUAUAUGAAGCUGGAAUCGCUAGUAAUCGUAGAUCAGCAUGCUACGGUGAAUACGUCC
rnacentral:rRNA from 1 species